GCUUACCUGAUUCAGACAAGAAAAGACACGCAAUGAAAACAGUAAGAGCCUGUUCAACGGGAUUUCCACUCGGAAGGACAAAAUUAGGCUCUUAGCUUCUGAUCUUGUACAGAAAAGGAUUCAAGGCGGAUGGAAGGCCUUAAUUUAAAACUCGAAACACUGGAACUUCGGGAUGAAAAUAUAGGACUCUCUACGACACUGGGGUGGGUAAGAAUUUUCAGAACAGAGCUUUCAUAGCAUUGGAACUAGACUCGGGCGUCAGCAGAUGGGACGACAUGAGAUGACAAUGUUCUGACAGCAAGAGAAACUAUCAGCAAAGCCAACAGCCUAAAGAAGGGAGAAAAUCUUUAACCAGCUAUACUUCAGACAAGGGGCUAAUAUACAGGAUUCCCAAAGAAGUGCAGAAAUUAAAUACCAAAGAAAUCAAGCUGCCAAUAAACAAACUGUCUAAUGAACUGAAGAAACAGUUGUUUUUUUUUUAAAUAAAGCCAAUAAAUAUUUC
rnacentral:lncRNA from 1 species